rnacentral:rRNA from 1 species
UACGGAGGGUGCAAGCGUUGUCCGGAAUCAUUGGGCGUAAAGCGCACGUAGGCGGCUCUUUAAGUCUCAUGGUGAAAGGCUGGGGCUCAACCCCAAGCAAGCCGGGGAUACUGGAGGACUGGAGACAGGCAGAGGCCAGCGGAAUUCCGGGUGUAGCGGUGGAAUGCGUAGAGAUCCGGAAGAACACCGGAGGCGAAGGCGGCUGGCUGGGCCUGAUCUGACGCUGAGGUGCGAAAGCGUGGGGAGCGAACAGG